UGUCUUGAGAAUUCACGUUUCCCUUUUUUUUUUUUGGUUAGAAAUUAUUUCCCUCUGUCUUGAACCCUCACUCCGCGGUUGCCAUGGCGCGAUAGGAGAGAAACCCGGGACGUCCUUCGCCCAAUCGAAACCCUAGGCCCCAAGAUCCCUUCGUCUCCCUUCUCCUCUCGCCAGCAAGCCUUCAUCGUCGCAGAUCGGGAUCUCCGCCGCAGCGCGUGGAUCCGUGAAUCAAACGAUUUCUCCACGAGAAAAAAGUCCUAAUCAUCUCUUCCACUUCGUGGCGCAUCGAUUCGUCCUUCCUUCCAUGUAGAAUUCGAAACAAUCUUCUCCCUCCCAGUGAUGGUGGUUUCCUGUGAAUGCGAUCAAAUUUUCUUCGUGACAAUUUGAAUAGGUGCGACACAAGUAGCUGACAAGUGAAUGACCAUAACAACAUCUGCUCACGCACCUCCGCUAAAUAUCUCGACGCCGUACCACAUCCUAUGCACGAAAAAUGAAGUCCGUAUGGCUGCUCUGUCAUAGCCAUCCGGACGACAACAUGAUCGACCUUUUCAGGGUUGCAAAAUUGGUCCCAUGAGUGAGGAAUUAAAGGGACAAAGGGUAACUGCAGAUGAUCUGCAUCCUGAUAAACGUGAUGAUAUUUCAGUUUAAAAAUUUUAGGAACAGUGGCUCCAUGGCCCUCUUGAUCCUAUCCCCAAGCUUCUGCAGGAAUUGAUAAACAUUUGUUUAUGCAUACCCUAGCUCUGAUUGUAUAAAGUUUGUCGGUCUUUCUAACAUCCAUUGAAUGGUCAAAUGUAUUUAUCCUCA